GGGUUGUGAGGUUAAGCGACUAAGCGUACACGGUGGAUGCCCUGGCAGUCAGAGGCGAUGAAGGACGUGCUAAUCUGCGAUAAGCGCCGGUAAGGUGAUAUGAACCGUUAUAACCGGCGAUUUCCGAAUGGGGAAACCCAGUGUGAUUCGUCACACUAUCAUUAACUGAAUCCAUAGGUUAAUGAGGCGAACCGGGGGAACUGAAACAUCUAAGUACCCCGAGGAAAAGAAAUCAACCGAGAUUCCCCCAGUAGCGGCGAGCGAACGGGGAGGAGCCCAGAGCCUGAAUCAGCAUGUGUGUUAGUGGAAGCGUCUGGAAAGGCGCGCGAUACAGGGUGACAGCCCCGUACACAAAAGCGCAUGUGCUGUGAGCUCGAUGAGUAGGGCGGGACACGUGGUAUCCUGUCUGAAUAUGGGGGGACCAUCCUCCAAGGCUAAAUACUCCUGACUGACCGAUAGUGAACCAGUACCGUGAGGGAAAGGCGAAAAGAACCCCGGCGAGGGGAGUGAAAAAGAACCUGAAACCGUGUACGUACAAGCAGUGGGAGCACAGGUUUACCUGUGUGACUGCGUACCUUUUGUAUAAUGGGUCAGCGACUUAUAUUCUGUAGCAAGGUUAACCGUAUAGGGGAGCCGGAGGGAAACCGAGUCUUAACCGGGCGUUAAGUUGCAGGGUAUAGACCCGAAACCCGGUGAUCUAGCCAUGGGCAGGUUGAAGGUUGGGUAACACUAACUGGAGGACCGAACCGACUAAUGUUGAAAAAUUAGCGGAUGACCUGUGGCUGGGGGUGAAAGGCCAAUCAAACCGGGAGAUAGCUGGUUCUCCCCGAAAGCUAUUUAGGUAGCGCCUCGUGAAUUCAUCUCCGGGGGUAGAGCACUGUUUCGGCUAGGGGGCCAUCCCGGCUUACCAACCCGAUGCAAACUGCGAAUACCGGAGAAUGUUAUCACGGGAGACACACGGCGGGUGCUAACGUCCGUCGUGAAGAGGGAAACAACCCAGACCGCCAGCUAAGGUCCCAAAGUCAUGGUUAAGUGGGAAACGAUGUGGGAAGGCCCAGACAGCCAGGAUGUUGGCUUAGAAGCAGCCAUCAUUUAAAGAAAGCGUAAUAGCUCACUGGUCGAGUCGGCCUGCGCGGAAGAUGUAACGGGGCUAAACCAUGCACCGAAGCUGCGGCAGCGACACUCAGGUGUUGUUGGGUAGGGGAGCGUUCUGUAAGCCUGUGAAGGUGGCCUGUGAGGGUUGCUGGAGGUAUCAGAAGUGCGAAUGCUGACAUAAGUAACGAUAAAGCGGGUGAAAAGCCCGCUCGCCGGAAGACCAAGGGUUCCUGUCCAACGUUAAUCGGGGCAGGGUGAGUCGACCCCUAAGGCGAGGCCGAAAGGCGUAGUCGAUGGGAAACGGGUUAAUAUUCCCGUACUUGGUGUUACUGCGAA
rnacentral:rRNA from 1 species